UACGAAGGGGGCUAGCGUUGCUCGGAAUCACUGGGCGUAAAGCGCACGUAGGCGGCUUUCUAAGUCAGGGGUGAAAUCCCGGGGCUCAACCCCGGAACUGCCUUUGAUACUGAUAGUCUCGAGUCCGGAAGAGGUGAGUGGAAUUCCGAGUGUAGAGGUGAAAUUCGUAGAUAUUCGGAGGAACACCAGUGGCGAAGGCGGCUCACUGGUCCGGUACUGACGCUGAGGUGCGAAAGCGUGGGGAGCAAACAGG
rnacentral:rRNA from 1 species